rnacentral:rRNA from 1 species
GACGAACGCUGGCGGCGUGCUUAACACAUGCAAGUCGAACGGAAAGGCCUCUUUCGGGGGGUACUCGAGUGGCGAACGGGUGAGUAACACGUGAGUAACCUGCCCUUGACUUUGGGAUAACUUCAGUAAACUGGGGCUAAUACCGGAUAGGAGCUCCUGCUGCAUGGUGGGGGUUGGAAAGUUUCGGCGGCUGGGGAUGGACUCGCGGCUUAUCAGCUUGUUGGUGGGGUAGUGGCUUACCAAGGCUUUGACGGGUAGCCGGCCUGAGAGGGUGACCGGCCACAUUGGGACUGAGGUACGGCCCAGACUCCUACGGGAGGCAGCAGUGGGGAAUAUUGCACGAUGGGUGGAAGCCUGAUGCAGCAACGCCGUGUGCGGGAUGACGGCCUUCGGGUUGUAAACCGCUUUCGCUCAUGACGAAGCUUUGUGUGACGGUAGUGGGUAAAGAAGCACCGGCUAACUACGUG